UAACGUGAUUAUUCCUGUUCAUGUCUCCGGACUAAUAGCUGGCAGGAAAGUUUAAAAUGUAAACGCGCCGUCUCCAAAUUUACCGUCGAAUGGGAUCUGGUCUGUUGAACACCAGGAUAUCAAUUACACACCGAGACAUUAACACAUUUAGCAAAGCUCGCCGUCCAGCCGUGGGGAGAAGUCUCUUCAUGUCGUACAGAAGCAUGUAAAUUGAAGCAAGAGCCAAUCGUUCAUGAACUUGGUUUAUACCGAUCUUCAGAGGAUGGCCCCUGGGCUGUUUAUCGAGUUGGUGAUUCGUCAAAAGGAGAGGAAGGGAGAAAAAAGAAGUGUACAAUUCUUGGAAGCUAUAAUCAUAUUAACCAGGCAACAAAACCAACGAGAAGGUCAACAUUACCAUCUUACACAGCACAGGGUUUAAAGGUCCAGGAAACAGAUGUUCGCCUGUAUCAGUGUUACACAAAUAAA